GGUUUGAUUAUGGCUCAGAUUGAACGCUGGCGGAUGCUUUACACAUGCAAGUCGAACGGCAGCACGACUUCGGUCUGGCGGGCGAGUGGCGAACGGGUGAGUAAUGUAUCGGAACGUGCCUAGUAGCGGGGAUAACUACGCGAAAGCGUAGCUAAUACCGCAUACGCCCUUCGGGGAAAGCGGGGACCUUCGGGCCUCGCACUAUUAGAGCGGCCGAUAUCGGAUUAGCUGGGUAGUAACGGCUCACCGGCGCGACGAUCCGUAGCCGGUUUGAGAGGACGACCAGCCACACUGGGACUGAGACACGGCCCAGACUCCUACGGAGGCAGCAGUGGGGAAUUUUGGACAAUGGGGAAACCCUGAUCCAGCCAUCCCGCGUGUGCGACAUGAAGGCCUUCGGGUUGUAAAGCACUUUUUGGCAGGAAAGAAACGGCACGGGAUAAUACCCCGUGCAACUGACGGUACCUGCAGAAGGGCGCACCGGCUAACUACGUGCCACAGCAGCCGCGGUAAUACGUAGGUGUUAAUCGGAAUUACUGGGCGUAAAAGCGUGCGCAGGCGGUUCGGAAAGAAAGAUGUGAAAUCCCAGAGCUUAACUUUGGAACUGCAUUUUUAACUACCGAGCUUGUGAGUGUGUCAGAGGGAGGUAACUCGCGUGUAGCAGUGAAAUGCGUAGAUAUGCGGAGGAACACCGAUGGCGAAGGCAGCCUCCUGGGAUAAACACUGACGCUCAUGCACGAAAGUGGAGCAAACAGGAUUAGAUACCCUGGUAGUCCACGCCCUAAACGAUGUCAACUAGCUGUUGGGCCUUCGGGCCUUAUGGUAGCGCAGCUAACGGGUGUGAAGUUGACCGCCUGGGGAGUACGGUCGCAAGAUUAAAAACUCAAAGGAAUUGACGGGACCCGCACAAGCGGUGGAUGAUGUGUGGAUUAAUUCGAUGCAACGCGAAAACCUUACCUACCCUGACAUGUCUGGAAUCCCGGAAGAGAUUUGGGAGUGCUCGCAAGAGAACCGGAACACAGGUGCUGCAUGGCUGUCGUCAGCUUCCGUGUCGUGAGAUGUUGGGUUAAGUCCCGGCAACGAGCGCAACCCUUGUCAUUAGUUGCCACGAAAGGGCACUCGACGAGACUGCCGGUGACAAACCGGAGGAAGGUGGGGAUGACGUCAAGUCCUCAUGGCCUUGGGCGGGUAGGGCUUCAGCACGUCAUACAAUGGUCGGGACAGAGGGUCGCCAACCCGCGAGGGGGAGCCAAUCCCAGAAACCCGGAUCAGAAGUCCGGACUGCAGUCUGCAACCGACUGCGUGAAGUCGGAAUCGCUAGUAAUCGCGGAUCAGCAUGUCGCGGUGAAUACGUUCCCGGGUCUUGUACACACCGCCUGUCGCUACACCAUGGGAGUGGGUUUUACCAGAAGUAGUUAGCCUAACCGUAAGGAGGGCGACGAC
rnacentral:rRNA from 1 species